GAAAACGGUGCGCAUGAGACCUACAGUACAUUUGUGACGCUUUGCAGGAACACCUGUCCAUGCUGUCAGGUGUGUGAGGAUACACACACUGUAUAUAUGGGAGGAAUACAAAGAAGGACUGGGAAAUAAAGACCAGGUCAAGGAACAAGGUGUCAUCUCCCACGUUCUGCUCUGAAGUCUGCAGGCGUCCAAUCAACAGCAUCAUCGUCUGCAGUUCACCAAGACAGCAACUGGACAUCCGGCUGAGCUCGUGUUAUGAGACUAAUUCUAGAAGAAUGACAUGGAUCUCUGAUGAAAGACAUUUCUACUUCUGUUUGUACAGUACUGACUGAUAAUCUAAACAAAGGUUUUUCACUCAUGGCCCAGCAUUUGUGAUAAUAGCUCGCUGCUGUAAUAAUCAAUCCUUUAUUUGAAGAAAUAAGUGACACAUUACCAUUAAUGCAGCUUGUGAAUUUUCCAUUUCCAUUUACCAUUUUCUUCAUGUAGAAAAAUGUUCCCUGCGUGAUGAUGAUCACACAUGUUCUGAUGACAGUGACUCAGACAUGACUGAGACAUGAAGUGACGAAGGCGCUAAGUCAUUAUGUUCUGUCACCAUCUUCUGAAGAAUAUUUCUACAUGUGCUCCUUAUUCAUAUAGCACAGAUGCAUUACAAAUUCACCAUCAUUACAGUGGAAAGAAUAAACGGAUGUAAGAAGCACUUGAGAGUUUUUUUUUAAGGAACUGUCUUACAGUUCAGAGUCAGAAUUAUGCAGAGGCAUAAAUGUUGUAAAAAUAUAAAACUUGUUUAUUAUCUUAGGAGCUCAGCUGUCUCAAUCAAUCAUGUUGAGUUUAAACAUUUGGACUCAAGUCUUCUAGCUGUUUUUAUUUUUCAUUUAUUUUUCUUCCCCAGUCUUUAUAUCUCUAGUACUUCUCGUUUGUAAAUUGUAUUUUCUUUCCUUUUUAGAUAUUUAAAAAAACAUUUUAUGUCUGUUUGUAAAUUGCUGGCAAGCAUUAACAGCUGUCUUUAAUUUUAAUGUUAAGUAGCUUCAUUUUACAAGCCCUCUGGGUUUUUUCAUCCCCCCCUGUGCAUUUCCUUAUGUAAUUUUGUAUUUCUUCUAUUUUGUUUUAUUUUAUUGUAUGUACAAAUUAAGAACUGCACAUCACGAAUGUAAGUCCAUUAAUGGGCCAAUCCAAAUCCAGCCCUAAGCAUUGAACAUUUUGAGAAUUACUUGGUUAUAACUGCUGUAUUGUAGAUGAGCUCCCCAGUUACACUUGUGCAAUUUGGAAGCAAUAAAACUGAGAUGUGCCAAGUUAUUACAGAU